rnacentral:rRNA from 1 species
UACGGGGGGGGCAAGCGUUGUUCGGAAUUACUGGGCGUAAAGGGCUCGUAGGCGGCCAACUAAGUCAGACGUGAAAUCCCUCGGCUUAACCGAGGAACUGCCUGUCAAACUGCAUGGCUUGAGACCGGGAGAGGUGAGUGGAAUUCCCAGUGUAGCGGUGAAAUGCGUAGAUAUUGGGAGGAACACCAGUGGCGAAGGCGGCUCACUGGACCGGUACUGACGCUGAUGCGCGAAAGCGUGGGGAGCAAACAGG